AUGGCGCUGAAACUGAUUAAUAAGGAACUUAGUGAUUUGGCCCUUGACCCUCCAGCACAGUGUCCUGCAGGUCCAGUUGGAGAUGACAUGUUUCAUUGGCAAGCCACAAUUAGGGGACCUAAUGACAGCCCAUAUCAAGGUGGUGUAUUCUUUUUGACAAUUCAUUUUCCUACAGACUACCCCUUCAAACCACCUAAGGUUGCAUUUACAACAAGAAUUUAUCAUCCAAAUAGUAACAGUAAUGGCAGCAUUUGUCUUGAUAUUCUAAGAUCACAGUGGUCUCCUGCUUUAACUAUUUCCAAAGUUCUUUUAUCCAUUUGUUCACUGAUAUGUGAUCCAAACCCAGAUGACCCCCUAGUGCCAGAGAUUGCAUGGAUCUAUAAAACAGACAGAGAUACGUACAACAGAAUAUCUCGGGAAUGGUCUCAGAAGUAUGCCGUAU
rnacentral:lncRNA from 1 species